rnacentral:rRNA from 1 species
AGGAUAAACGCUGGCGGCGUGCCUAACACAUGCAAGUCGAACGUCUCUUCUUUCGGGAAGAGGAGUGGCGGACGGGUGAGGAACACGUGGGAACCUGCCCUUCAGUGAGGAAUACCGGCGAGAAAUCGCCGACAAGACCGCAUAGCCCUCUCUGGUGAGAGCCAGAGAAGGAAAGCUUCGCAAGAGGCGCUGGAGGAGGGGCCUGCGUCCGAUUAGCUAGUUGGUGGGGUAAGAGCCUACCAAGGCGUCGAUCGGUAGCUGGUCUGAGAGGACGAUCAGCCACACUGGGAUUGAGAACGGCCCAGACUCCUACUGGGGGCAGCAGUGAGGAAUUUUCGGCAAUGGGGGAAACCCUGACCGAGCAACGCCGCGUGCAGGAAGACGGCCUUCGGGUUGUAAACUGCUUUUCUUUGGGUACGAGCAAGGACGGUACCAGAGGAAUCAGCCCGGCUCACUACGCGCCAGCAGCCGC